UUGUGGUUCCACGUGGAGGGAAGCAAGUGGAAAGCAAGACUGCAGACAUGCUCGUGUGGUGUCAGUCGUUUCAUGUAUGUAGCAUAGAACACGGGCACCUAUGGAGACUUUGAUAAAAGACUAGACGGAACCACAUCGGGGUGCAAAUGGUGAUUUCCUCUGAGUGCUUGUGCACUUGGUUUUUCCUGGUCUUGUCGCCCCGAAGCCAAGCACGAGAGGAAGUGCCAGGUGUCAUUAUGAUGGAAUCUGUAUCAAGAAGAGC